AGCGAACGCUGGCGGCAGGCCUAACACAUGCAAGUCGAACGAACCCUUCGGGGUUAGUGGCGGACGGGUGAGUAACACGUGGGAACGUGCCUUUAGGUUCGGAAUAACUCAGGGAAACUUGUGCUAAUACCGAAUGUGCCCUUCGGGGGAAAGAUUUAUCGCCUUUAGAGCGGCCCGCGUCUGAUUAGCUAGUUGGUGAGGUAAUGGCUCACCAAGGCUACGAUCAGUAGCUGGUCUGAGAGGAUGACCAGCCACAUUGGGACUGAGGCACGGCCCAAACUCCGACGGGAGGCAGCAGUGGGGAAUCUUGCGCAAUGGGCGAAAGCCUGACGCAGCCAUGCCGCGUGGAUGAUGAAGGUCUUAGGAUUGUAAAAUCCUUUCACCGGUGAAGAUAAUGACUGUAGCCGGAGAAGAAGCCCCGGCUAACUUCGUGCCAGCCGCCGCGGUAACAC
rnacentral:rRNA from 1 species